CUAUAAUUAACGUUACCUUUUUAUUUUGUUUCGUAUUUAAAGGAAAAGUCCUUCUUUUAGAAAAUAAACUUCCCAGCAUCGAGUAAACGAUGACUUUCUUAGCAUUAAAUAACAUGAAAUUUACCAAAAGUAAGAGUAUCUAUAGAGUUCCAAACGCAUUUUUUAAAACACGCAUUUCGAGCAAUUGACAGAUUAUGGGAGAAUACUUGUAUCGCCAUCUAGCGACGUAUAUAUAGUUUUCAUAGCAGUGGAAUUGAUUACCACGACUACGGAAAUAACGGAAGAAGUUUGAUUGAAAAUAAAAUUAAUCGUGUAAAGUUAAUAUUAACGUGUUCUACUUCAUACACAUUUACGUAUCAACGAACGCACGUGGAAUCAGCCCCCUUCCCGGGGCUGAUACGACGGAUGAUACUGAGACACCGUGUAUGUCGUUUAUGUUUACAUUCGAUGCCGGCCGCCAUAGGAGCUAUCAACGAAUAAACACGUCUUUUGUCCGCCCACGCACUACCAUGCUGCAAUAUUAUUCAUUUAAAAAGUACAUUCACUUACGUCUGGUUGAGGUACUGUAGAGUCACGUUGAUGAUUUCCCCGAUGAUCUCAGCCUCGGUGACGUUAUAUGAACUUACUGAGACAGGCAGCUGAUCGUAUGGAUUCACUCUGGCGACAAAUUCGGUGAAAAAACGGCUAUACGCUCCGAGAUAAUCACCGUCAGGACAAUCUUCCGCCAUUCUUUUUUCUCUUGGUCAGAAAUCCAAGUUACCGGUGCACACUUCUGUGAGAGCACAAAAAUCACGAUACGUUGACUACGUUUACCGAAAUGUGAACGCGAUACCUCAACAGUUAUUUCUUAGUGACUAAAGUCGAAUUAACCCACAUGAAAAUAUAAGAAUGGAAGGGAGAGAAAUAGAAAGAAAGCAAAAGUGUGUGCGUAUAUUUGAACGUUUUUGUCGUUUUACUAAACGAAGCGUUCCUCCGUUCUGAACCUAUUCGUUGAUAGGCGAUAUUUGUAUUUAGGUUACGUCACUCAUUCAACAUCGCGUACGCACAUAACACUACCGAUCGAACGACGCGUUUCUCUAUUGUGUUUCUUAGAGAAGUGGGGAGAAUUUGCCGCGACGUUUAAACACUAUCUCUCCCGCUUCUUUCAGUUUAGCGUUGCUUUUUGCCUUUCCUUUUGCCACUGGCCACUUGCGGAUUGACUCUCGUAACGGAAGAAAAAGUGCGUAACGGAAUUCCCCGAGUCACCUACUGCGCAUGCCCGUCACGGGCCUCCGCAUUUGCUGUUUCGCCGGCGUAUGCUACUACAAUACUUCUUUAUUAUGUUUAACUGUUAUCUUUCUUCCGACUUAUACGUACUAUUGUGUACGUACAUUUUCUAUUCUGAUAUAUUUUUCAACUUUUUUUGUAUGUUUUUACUGUAAUUUAUAUGAAAAACGUUAAAGCCUUUAUAUGAAAUUUACAUGAGAAACAUUAAAGUAAUCGCUAUUUUAUUAUUUAUAUACAUAUCGUGUAUAAUAAUGUACUCAAAAAUUA